GUUCAGAAAUUGGAUGCGCUGAUUGCUACUCCAAGAGCCGGACAUGAACCAAACAAAAGAAUUCUUCAAUUUACAUUUGUGAAAGAUACCUUUAUAAUCCCUGAUGAUCCACGGGGUAAAGAGGAACCAGAUAUUUCCACUCUGUUUCUCUCAAAAAAGAAUAUAAACAAACCAUCUGUUAAAAAAUUGGUUCAGGACUUCUUGCCGAAAUGGGAGGCAUGUUCUAGGAUCAUACUGGACUUUAAGGAACUUGACCGAUUUUCUGAAGAACCAGGAAAUGAUGACCUACCACUGGUGACUUUAGGCAAUGAGACUAUAAGGGCUUAUGGAGGGAUAUUAUAUAUAAACAUCGUAAACAAACCUUUCAAUCUAAGGAAGCCUAAUACCAAACUACUGUAUUGGGUGAUUUUUGA